UCUUGUAGGCCUUGAGGACCAGGGGGAUUAGCACUGCUUUCCCGUGACAGGUUUACGGUUAAACUACAGGCUUUGCCUAUUCAGGUUGAUCAGUUGGUGCAGACGAGGCUGAGUUGAGGCUAAGUACCACGAUGUCUUUUGCUUCCGCUAAUGACUAGCUUAUCAUCUUGUCUUUUAAAUUCUCUAAAUUGAGAAUUUCUAUUGUGGGGUACAAUAUUAUCUCGUUGUGUUUAAACUCUUAUCCUAUAUAUUUUAGUGAAGCUAUCAUUGAUUAAGAUCAGAGACACGGAACUAAACUUAUGUGAUCCUGAGUUUGAAUAUUGUCAUUUGAUUGGCAUCUCUUAAUGCCUUUCAUUUUAUCUCCUUUCAUUUUAUCUAUUUGGAUUAUAUGAAUACUCAAUUUAAUGAGUAGGUUGUCAAAUUUA